AUGCCUUACACAUGCAAGUCGAACGGCAGCACGGGUGCUUGCACCUGGUGGCGAGUGGCGAACGGGUGAGUAAUACAUCGGAACAUGUCCUGUAGUGGGGGAUAGCCCGGCGAAAGCCGGAUUAAUACCGCAUACGAUCUACGGAUGAAAGCGGGGGACCUUCGGGCCUCGCGCUAUAGGGUUGGCCGAUGGCUGAUUAGCUAGUUGGUGGGGUAAAGGCCUACCAAGGCGACGAUCAGUAGCUGGUCUGAGAGGACGACCAGCCACACUGGGACUGAGACACGGCCCAGACUCCUACGGGAGGCAGCAGUGGGGAAUUUUGGACAAUGGGCGAAAGCCUGAUCCAGCAAUGCCGCGUGUGUGAAGAAGGCCUUCGGGUUGUAAAGCACUUUUGUCCGGAAAGAAAUCCUUGGUUCUAAUAUAGCCGGGGGAUGACGGUACCGGAAGAAUAAGCACCGGCUAACUACGUGCCAGCAGCCGCGGUAAUACGUAGGGUGCGAGCGUUAAUCGGAAUUACUGGGCGUAAAGCGUGCGCAGGCGGUUUGCUAAGACCGAUGUGAAAUCCCCGGGCUCAACCUGGGAACUGCAUUGGUGACUGGCAGGCUAGAGUAUGGCAGAGGGGGGUAGAAUUCCACGUGUAGCAGUGAAAUGCGUAGAGAUGUGGAGGAAUACCGAUGGCGAAGGCAGCCCCCUGGGCCAAUACUGACGCUCAUGCACGAAAGCGUGGGGAGC
rnacentral:rRNA from 1 species